CAUAGCAACAAGGUGGCGAUAUCUCCUCUCAAUCUCAAGUCGCCGUCGAAGAUCACGAUGAUACCGGUAUCGGUGGCUGCACGUUCCCCCGUGCGCAUCGCUCCCGCCGUUACCAUGACGACGCGCGCGGGCACGAGCAUCGUCACGGGGGGCAAGACGUCGACGAUAAUCACGAUGUCGCCGUCGAAGCUUUCAAUCAAGCAGGCGCCCAGCCAGGGCGUGCACGUGCCGCGACAGCUGACGCCGCAGCAGCUGGUGUCUGCGAGCGGGCAGCCGCUGCAGGCCGUGCAGGUGCAGGGCAACAAGGUGCAGUACCUGAGGCUGCUGAGUGCGCCGCCUCCGCUCGCUCCCGUCAGCUCUGCCACCACGC